GACGUCGAAUAUCGACGUCAUAAACACCAAAUUUGAUCGCGUUUAUGACGUCGAAUAUCGACGUCAUAAAAACCAAAACCAAAAUCGUGUUUAUGACGUCGAAUAGCAAAGUUGAUCGUGUUUAUGACGUCGAAUAUCGACGUCAUAAACACCAAAGUUGAUCGUGUUUAUGACGUCGAAUAUCGACGUC